ensembl:lncRNA
AUGCUAAGAAGGCCUCGGCCAAGAAGCCCUGACGCCAGAGACCCAGGGCGUCAGAGGGCAGCCUCUGCUGGGGUAGAGCGGUGCACACCGCAUUACACGGUGCCCGUCUCGCCUCAGCGUCCUCUGGGGGCCGGUCUGCCAACCCUGCCAGUGUUCCAGGGCGCAGCGGUCCCCAGCGAGCAUCAUUCUCAGUAUCUUCCGCCCGUGCGCGUAGCGGGGCUGAGACGCUCGCCACCCCUGCGGGGGCCUCUUACACCAGAGGUCAGUCUCGAGAGACUGAUUCCCUUAGUAGAUUAUUUGCCAGCGUGGAAACUACUGCCAAAUGUAUCUCAAUGGGUCCUGCACACGGUAGAGAAAGGUUACCGUAUUCAGUUCGGCUCUGCACCGCCGAUGUUCAACGGGGUUACUCCGACGAUAGUCGGCCCCGAGCAGGGUCUGGUUAUGGAACAAGAAGUGAAAGCCCUAUUAGAGAAGGAGGCCAUCGAGGUGGUCCCUCCUCAAGACAGGGAAUCCGGAUUUUACAGCCGGUAUUUCAUAGUUCCAAAGAAGGAUGGGGGGGUUGCGUCCGAUCAUAGACCUGCGGGUCUUAAAUCGAUCAGUUAUGAGACUGAAGUUCAAGAUGCUCACGAUCAAGCAUGUUGUAGCGCAGAUCAGAUCCGAGGACUGGUUUGUCACAAUAGAUCUCAAAGAUGCAUACUUCCACAUAUCCAUCCUUCCACAACACAGGAAGUUUCUGAGGUUUGCUUUCGGGGCGAAGCUUACCAAUAUCGAGUACUUCCCUUUGGCCUCGCACUCUCACCCCGCACGUUCACGAAAUGUGUAGAUGCGGCUCUGGUCCCCCUGCGCAUGCAGGGCAUCCGCAUUCUCAACUACAUCGACGAUUGGUUGAUUUUUAGCUCAGUCAGAGCAGGCUGCGGCUCGGCAUCGAGAUGUCGUUCUCGCACAUAUGGGGGAGCUGGGUUUGAGACUGAACGCCAAGAAGAGUGUACUUUCUCCAGUUCAGAGAACCACCUAUCUAGGCGUAGUAUGGGAUUCGACCACGAUGCAGGCACGAUUGUCCCCUGCUCGUAUCGAGUCGAUCCUCAUCUCAGUCGAGAGAGUCAAAGAAGGCCAUUCACUCACUGUCAAACAAUUUCAGAAAUUGUUGGGUCUGAUGGCAGCUGCGUCCAACGUGAUACCUUUUGGCCUGCUGUACAUGAGACCCCUACAGUGGUGGCUCAAGACCAAGGGAUUUUCCCCGAGGGGCAAUCCACUUCGAACUAUCAAGGUCACGCAGCGCUGCCUCCGUGCCUUAGACAUGUGGAAGAAACCUUGGUUCUUGAAUCAGGGCCCAGUGCUGGGAGCUCCUGGUCGCCGUGUAACACUAGCGACGGAUGCUUCCCUCACUGGUUGGGGUGCGGUAAUGAGUGGCCACCCUGCCCGCGGUCUGUGGAGCGGUCGCCAUCUGACAUGGCAUAUCAAUUGUCUAGAAAUGCUAGCAGUUUAUCGUGCACUGAAGCACUUCCUCCCAGACCUAAGGGAUCACCAUGUGUUGGUGCGCACCGACAACACAUCGGUGGUCUCUUACAUCAACCACCAGGGAGGUCUGCGUUCGCGCCCCUUGUACAAGCUGGCGCACCAGAUCCUUGUGUGGUCCCAGGGCAAACUCCUCUCACUCAGAGCAGUAUAUAUUCCUGGGAAACUGAAUGUGGGAGCAGACAUACUGUCGAGGCAGGGGCCGAGGCCCGGGGAAUGGAAGCUUCACCCCGAGGUGGUGGAGCAGAUAUGGAGAAUUUUUGGCAGAGCUCAAGUAGACCUCUUUGCAACUCAGGAGACAGCACAAUGUCCCCUUUGGUUCUCUCUAGUUCAUCCAGCUCCCCUGGGACUGGACGCUAUGGUACAGACCUGGCCGAGGCUUCGUCUGUACGCAUUUCCCCUAUUGCUCUGCUCCCGGGAGUUCUGGCGAGAGUACGCCGGGACGGGGUCCGUCUAUUGUUAGUAGCCCCGUUCUGGCCGGGCCGAGUAUGGUUCGCAGAUCUGGUCUCGCUCCUCGACGGCUCUCCUUGGGAGAUACCGAUCAGGACAGACCUACUCUCACAGGCGCAGGGCACGAUAAUUCACCCUCGCCCGGAGCUGUGGAAGCUGUGGGUGUGGCCCCUGAGGGGGCGCAGUUCAUAG